rnacentral:lncRNA from 1 species
UUUGUAUCCAUGUAUAGAGACCAUCUAUGUAUCUACUUUUAGCACUUGUAUUUGGGAUUUUCUUUGUAUUACUUCAUGCUUUUAUUAGUGGAUUCCAGUUUUAUGUUCCUUUCUCUAUUGUAGAACUUAGUUUUAUAUCAUGCUCUGAUACUCAUAGAUGUCUUUUAUUAUUGCUUUAAUUAUCGUUGUUUUAGACGCCUUAUAUGUUUUAGACGUAUGGCGGGUCUGGGCACGUGCCGGGCGGGCUUCCGCUGGGUCCCGGGGCGUGACAGUGAGAGAGAGGAAAAGAUCUCUCUCUAAUACCCUCUCUCAUUUGUAACAAUAUCCCCAAAGGCCCCUCCACUUUUCACCUCUUACACAGCCCUUACUGAGCGUUCUGCGCGCUGAGGGACCGGUCUCCCCGACCAGGGACCGGUCUCCGAGAGCUCCCCUCAACAGCACGCGUUCGGGAACUGGUCUUUCCCUGCGGGACCGGUCCCCCGGAGACCGGUCUGCCCACCAGAGACCGGUCCCCGAGAGCUCAUCUCGCGGGACUUAGCCAAUUUUGGCUCUUUCUCUCUGAUGUCGCCGGCUGGGACCGGUCCUUCCCCUGCCAGGGACCGGUUACAUCAGUAACCCCGCAGCUUUCAACUGAUGGGACUGGUCUCUCACCUCCAGAGACCGGUCCCCGAGAGCAACCUCAGCCCAAAAAUGCAGAUUGCAUUAUUUGCUCUCGCGGACUCCAUUCCAAUGCACUUAUUGGGGUUUCGUGCAUCCUAGGCUUUUGAAAGCUUAUCCAAUCGACCCUUAGUCUAUCCUGGACAAAGUAAAACUCUCGGAUUUCGAGAAUUCACGUUGUUACAUUCUCCCCUCCUUAAAAUGAGUUUCGUCCGCGAAACUCACUCAUUUCUAACCCCUUUAUUCCUCGACACACUUCUCGAGUACUCAAGGGGUGAGGAAGUGAAUUCUCGAAAUACGAGGAUUAGACUUCGAUGAGAAUCGACUGGUUGUUGAUUGUGUAAGCUUCGGAAGGCCGAAGAUGAUUAUAAUGCAUAAAGUGCAUUAAAGAAGGGUCCGCGAGAGCACCAGUGCGAAAUCUGCACUGGAGCAGAAAUGCUCUCGGGGACCGGUCCCUGGCAGGGAGUGACCGGUCCCAUCAGGCUGGGCUGCGGGGGGGUCUCUGAUGAGACCGGUCCCUGUCAGUGAGGGACCGGUUCCCGAACGUUGGCCCAGCGAGAUUAGCCGAAAUUUGGCUAAGUCCCGAGAAUCCAGCUCUCGGGAACCGGUCUCUCGGUCAAGGACCGGUCUCCCGGGGACCGGUCUCUCAGGCAAGGACCGGUUCCCGAACACGAAAUUCUUCUGCCCGAGAUGGAAAGCUCUCGCGGACCGGUCUCCCCGAGCUGGGACCGGUCCCUCGCUGCGAAAAUGCCCUGAGAGGGCUGGUGUAGAGGAUGAAAAGUUGAGGGGGCUAGUUGCAAAAUGACCUUUAUUA